rnacentral:rRNA from 1 species
CAAUAGCGUAUAUUAAAGUUGUUGCAGUUAAAAAGCUCGUAGUUGAAUUUCGGGUCCCCGCGCUCGGCGCUUCAUUGUGCCGUCGUGGUGUCCCUCCUCGCCGUAAGGCGUCCUUUACUGUGAAAAAAUUAGAGUGUUCAAAGCAGGCAAUCGCUUGAAUACAUUAGCAUGGAAUAAUAAGAUAGGAUCUUGUCUAUUUUGUUGGUUGCGGACAACGAUAAUGAUUAAUAGGGAUAGUUGGGGGUGUCCGUAUUGAGCUGUCAGAGGCGAAAUUCUUGGAUUUGCUCAAGACGAACUACUGCGAAAGCAUUCACCAAGGAUGUUUUCAUUAA